ACAGCUCUGGGUGUUUCAAAUUAGAUGUGGAUUCUUCCACUUUUUUUUUUUUUUUGAGACAGGUUCUCACUUUGUUGACCAGGCUGGAGUGCAGUGGCAUGAUUACAGCCCACUGCACCAUUGGCCUCCCAGGCUCAAGCGAUCCUCCCACUUCAGCCUCCAGAGCAGCUGGGACUACAAGCAUGCGCCACCAUGCCUGCCUAAUUUUUUUGUAUUUUUGGUAGAAACGGGGUUUCGCCGUGUUGCCUAGGCUGAUCUCAAACUCCCGGGCUCAAGUGAUCCACCCACCUCAGCCUCCCAAAGUGCUGGGAUUACAGGUGUGAGCCAUCACACCUGGCCUCUUAUUUUUUAAACAUCUCCUUUAUUGUACUUUAUAGCUUCAGAAUUGAGCUGAUCAAAAUACAUGCUAUUCAACUUGCAUAGUAAAAUCUUUCCUUGUGUCUGUCAGAAC
rnacentral:lncRNA from 1 species